rnacentral:rRNA from 1 species
AGUACGUGAAACCGUUCAGGGGUUAACCUGAGAAACCCAAAAGAUCGAACGGGGAGAUUCAUCGUCAGCGGCGUUGGCUUCGAGUCGGCGAUGUUCCGCGCGGUAUUCCCGCGCGGGCACGCUAUCGUGUGCGCAUGUCCGACGUCGUCGUCGUGAACUUCUCCCCUGGUAGAAUGUCGCGACCCGCUGGGUGUCGGUCUACGGCCCGGGUGCGGUGCCUGUCGCGUCGCAGGUAAAACGGCACGCGGCAAAUUCCCGGUUCGUCCAGCCGUCUGCCCGGCGGUACACGCAUUGUAUCAGGCCGCAGUUUUUACACAUCUGCUUCAAACCCGUCGCAAGCGCGCGCCACGUUAUCCGGAGGCACGGACCCAGCGCCGUCCCCGGUUCUGGCCUGCUGUUGGCCGACGGUGAUCCUUUGACAAGCCUUAAACGAGGCGGCGCGCGGAGGGUCUCGUCCUUCACCCGCGCGUACCUCGAUACCGGUCGGAGACGCUACUGCUUUGUGUACUCUUAGGACCCGUCUUGAAACACGGAA